CACAAAAAAAGAAGAAACAGAAAAGUGAAAAGGGUCAGUUCAGAGUCGACACUGGUAGAGAGAAGAGAGCUGGACGACGAGACACAAAGAGGGCUGUGAUGUCAGCUGUGGACUUCCCGUUUGUUCCGUUCCUGCACGUUUACUGCGCCUUCACAGUGAAAUCUGUUCUGUAGAGGGAGUGACUGACAGUCCCAACAAUCAAAUCAGGAUGUUUGUUCUCAUGUGGUCGACUCUGCUUUUCUCUGUGUGGGGCAGCAAUGCAGACGUAGGUACAUCAUUGGAAAGAAGAGAGUUCUGUCAGGGUGACUUCUGUAUCACUCUGAUUGAUGGACAAAUAACAGCAGAGGCUGGACUCUGUGUCGUGAUCCCGUGUUCUUUUACUAUUAGUUAUUGGUUCAGUCCA